UACGGAGGGGGCUAGCGUUGUUCGGAAUUACUGGGCGUAAAGCGCACGUAGGCGGCUUUGUAAGUUAGAGGUGAAAGCCCGGGGCUCAACUCCGGAACUGCCUUUAAGACUGCAUCGCUUGAAUCAUGGAGAGGUCAGUGGAAUUCCGAGUGUAGAGGUGAAAUUCGUAGAUAUUCGGAAGAACACCAGUGGCGAAGGCGACAUACUGGAUCAUUACUGACGCUGAGGCUCGAAAGCGUGGGGAGCAAACAGG
rnacentral:rRNA from 1 species